AAACAAACCUUUCCGCAAACCUAUGAGAUGUGAGUGUGUUUUCUACUGCAGCAGAACCUACACUAUCCCAGUGCAGGAAGCGCUCAUUGCAAAUGGAGGUUAUCUUGUUGAUUUUUGGUUAAACUUCUCAUGUCACGUUUUCUGACAACACCUUCCAUUGUACCAUCUGUUUCUGAACAAUACCUGGGACAUUGCAAACUUGUUCUGCAAGAAUACCCUGGGUCUCAGUGUGUGUGACAAGGGAUGGAAGAUACGUGGUCUUGCUAUGUUGCC
rnacentral:lncRNA from 1 species